GAUGCUCAGGUGGUCUGCAGGCAGCUGGGUUGUGGAGCAGCACUGAGGGCUGAUAGGAAUUCAGUCUUUGGUGCUGGUGAAGGUGUUGUGUGGCUGAACAGAGUCGAGUGCAGAGGGAAUGAGAUUCACCUGUGGGACUGUCCUCUCUCCCUGAAAAAACACACUGACUGCUCCAACAAAGAGCACGUUGGACUCACCUGUGCAGAUUUGUCAGAAUUUACUACUCCUGCCACAACAACAUCAGCUUCUCCUACAGUGCGCUCAACAUCAGUCACUCCUCCACAAACUCCUCCAGCAGCAUCUCUCUCCGUCCCCUCAGUGCUUGUGAUUGUACUGGUAGUUUUGCUCUUACUGCUCUUAGUGUCACUGCUUAUACUGAUUCACCAAAAGAGAGUGAUGAGGAGAGGUAGGUAGGAGAUCCAGUGUUAUAUCUGGCUCAGAGAUGUAACAUUAAGGGAGACUACAUGGCGGAAUAGCUUCAAACACAAUAUUUAUUACAAAAAAAUAAAAAUAACAUAACACAGAACAGCAGUAUCAGUAGGUUCAAUUAGUAAGAAAUGCAAGUGAAUAGAUGCACAAUGAACUGUGGUCAGUGCUUAUGAAUGGAUGCAAAACAAAACAUAAUGCUACAAAAUUGAAGCGUAGCUCUGGCAAACUGCCCAAGCAACAAUGGAUCAGCGAUGCCGACAAACUCUCACAACAUGUUUAAAUAAGUCUCACAAAACCUUCAAAAAUGAACCCAAAACACCCAACCCUACACAACUCAGUCCUAACACACACCCCCUUAAAAAUCAUUCUCAAUAACAGUAUAAUUCAUAAGAUAGGAAUUAAACUUGACAAAUAGCUAAUUGGGUGAAUAAUACCACCAGACUGAGUCUGGAGAAGAACCGCUCCUGCACCCACUUGACUUGAGACCACUUUGGGACGCUGCUAAUACAAAAGCCGCCGUCAACAGCAAGUUCAACAGCAAGUCUCAAAUGCCUUUUGACAAUGUGGGGUCCACUCAAACUUAGCGGAGUUCUUUAAAAGAUUAGUCAAUUGACAAAUGACCGAUGAAAAAUUGGGGCAAAAACUGCGAUAGUAACUGACCACCCCGAUAAACCUCAUGAGCUCUUUUUUAGUACAAGGGAAAUUCUCUAUCCACCUCCUUUCCCCAAGUAAGAAACCGUUGCCCAUGCAAAGUUACGUUUGCCUAAAUGUAAGGUCAAAUUAGCCUCCGCCAGACACCAAAAUAAAUAUCGGCCAUCACUGUAAACUGUAGACCAAUUAAACAUUCAGGAUGCGCGCGCAGCAUGGUUGCAGAAAACCCGGGAGAGCUUGCCUUUACGGCUAGAGAAUUACAAGGAUACGGUACAAAAUACUUAGAUUUAAAACGAGUAUAGAUUAUAUUAAUUAGAUGUCAUUUUCAAAAUGUUAUUCGCAUAUUACAAGAGUUUGUCACCCAGCGAUAAGCACUGUUAUUCAGAGAAAUUGACGUUAGGGAUGAGGUUUUUUGUAGGCGGUUUAAGUGGCAGUCUCCGGAGCCAUGGAAUAAAAGAAUAAAAAAAGUUAAAUUUUGAUUUUAUAUUUUAAAAUUCUGACUUUAUUUUCGCAGUUCCGAAAUUAUAUCUCACAACUCUAGAGGAAAAACAACUCGUCAUUCUCCCUUUUCCCCUCGCUUAGAGUUUCUAUCCCACAUUUCUGGCUCCCCCCCCUAAAAUUCCUGUAGUGUGAGUCCGGCUUAAGUCAGUGGAUUUCAAUCCUGGUCCUGGGUGACCCCUGCUCUGCACAUUUUGCAUGUCUCCCUUAUUUAACACACCUGAUUGAGAUCAUCAGCUCGUUAGUUCAGUUCAUGGAUCUCUGUCCUAAUAAGCUGAUGUCUGUCAGGUUUGUCUGUCUACACUCACAGCUCUUUCUGACUGGUAUACAGGACUACAAAGGACACAGAAGCUGUUUAUCAUGGCAUUCAUCACAGACAACAUCACUCAGAGGGGUGAGGCAUCAUGUAAGAAUGUUAAAAGCUGUAACUAUAACUACUGAUAAAACACCUGAGAAAAAGAAAGCCAUCAACAGCAAAAUACCAACAGCCCCUCAUUAAGUUGCAUUACAAAAUUUUGGGACUCCAGUCAAAUGAGAUUAAAUUAUGACUUCAGAGAUCAAGAUCUGAUUCACUGUAGAAUUAAGGCUUUUUCUAACCUUACUACUAAUCAAUUUUAAUCAUAUAAAAAGAUUUAAAAAUAUUUAAAUAAGUAUCUCCACUGAGAAUGUCAGAUGACUGUAACUGUAUAUCUUUCUGGGUUAUUAACGUAUAAUCAGAUGAACGUGUAACCACAUCGCUGCAUGUUUAUGUGUGCAUCAGUGAAUGUCUCUUCCUGUGUGGUUUUCGAGAGUGAAGCAGGAAGUGCAUUUGUAGAGUUUGCAAAGAUAAAAAGCUAACUUUGUUCCCCAAACACAAUUUAUUUUUAAAGAAGUUAAAAUAUGAUGAUUGCAUUAGCACUUUUAAUCAGUGGCGGUUUAUUGAAACCACCUGACUGUUCAACAGGUGCAAUAAUACAGACCAACCACAAAACCCUAACCCUAACUAAGACUUAAACUGCACUGAUAGAUGCCGACCAACAGCAACAGACAUGCUUGUCGGGUUUUGUUAGAUCAUCGUUUCUCUCUGUCAGUGUCUCUUUCCAGUGUCCGUUAGUCUUCAUUUGUUUCUAUGAAGUGAAUAUGUGUGAUCUGCAUUUGUUGAGUCAUGGAAAGUCUGAGCUGUUUGGUGAGCUCAAUCUGAUGAUUAUCUGUUGAAGUGUGAGAAUUAACCCUGAUAUACAAAAAGCUGGAUAAAUGGGUUGUUCACACAGAAUGCAUUGCAGUUAAAAAAAAAAAAAAAAAAAAAGGUUAAAGUUUUAA